GAUGAACGCUAGCGGCAGGCUUAAUACAUGCAAGUCGAGGGGCAGCACGGGUAGCAAUACCUGGUGGCGACCGGCAAACGGGUGCGGAACACGUACGCAACCUUCCCAUAACUGGUGAAUAGCCCUCCGAAAGGAGGAUUAAUACACCGUAACAUAAUGAAGUGGCAUCACUUUAUUAUUAUAGGCUUCGGCCGGUUUUGGAUGGGCGUGCGCCUGAUUAGGUAGUUGGCGGGGUAACGGCCCACCAAGCCUUCGAUCAGUAACUGGUGUGAGAGCACGACCAGUCACACGGGCACUGAGACACGGGCCCGACUCCUACGGGAGGCAGCAGUAAGGAAUAUUGGUCAAUGGACGAAAGUCUGAACCAGCCAUGCCGCGUGAAGGAUUAAGGCCCUCUGGGUUGUAAACUUCUUUUAUCUGGGACGAAAAAAGGGUAUUCUUACUCACU
rnacentral:rRNA from 1 species